rnacentral:rRNA from 1 species
GACGAACGCUGGCGGCGUGCUUAACACAUGCAAGUCGAACGGAAAGGCCCUGCUUUUGUGGGGUGCUCGAGUGGCGAACGGGUGAGUAACACGUGAGUAACCUGCCCUUGACUUUGGGAUAACUUCAGGAAACUGGGGCUAAUACCGGAUAGGAGCUCCUGCUGCAUGGUGGGGGUUGGAAAGUUUCGGCGGUUGGGGAUGGACUCGCGGCUUAUCAGCUUGUUGGUGGGGUAGUGGCUUACCAAGGCUUUGACGGGUAGCCGGCCUGAGAGGGUGACCGGACACAUGGGGAAUGAGAGACGGCACAGACUCCAAGGGGAGGGAGAAGUGGGGAAUAUUGCAAAAGGGGGGGAAGCCGGAUGAAGAAACGCCGGGUGGGGGAUGACGGCCUUGGGGUUGUAAACCGUUUUCGCGGGGGAAGAAGGGUGAGUGAGGGAAAUGGGUAAAGAAACAACGGAUAAAUACGU